UUGAGAAUAUCACACGAUUUUCAUACAAGAAGGAUCAAAACCAAAUUUUCAUUCCAAUCCAUUCAUCCAAAACAAUCUCCACCAUCCAUUUGAACUUAUCAAGGGCUACCAAUGCUUCAGACUAACUCACACGGAUCAUCAACAAACUUGCCUUCAAGCUCACAAAUUUUUGAUCCACUGGCUGUGGAUCUUAACCGGAGAUGUCCGUCGGAAUUGAGAGUGGAUGGCGGUGACGUGUGUAAUAGCGCGUGUGGCGCGUUUGGAAGCCCGGAGUAUUGUUGCAGUGGAUGGAGUUUGAUGAUGCUACGAGCACUUUUACUUGUACUGCUGCUGAUUAUACUAUCACAUUUUGUCCUUCUUCUCCGAGAAAUAUCAUGAACAAUUAUCAAGUUGAAAUGAAAUGGUUCCAUGAAGUGAUGCAUGAAGAGGUGUAAGAUUGGAUGAAGAGUCUUGACUUCACUUUCUCCCCUUUUUUGAUGAUGACAAACAAUCAAAAGUUGGAAUGCAUGAAUCUCUUAUGUGAAUGCUCCCCAUGUCUUUGAUAAAUCCCCCUUGAUCAAAGCUCUCCCUUGAUUCAUAUAGAAUUUGCAUCUUUCUUUUGGGCUGCAAUAGUUAGAGACAAGCAUACACAUACACAUGUAUAUAUCUUCUCCCCCUUUGUCAUUAACAAAAAAGAUGGGAAAAGACUUUUAAAAAUAUAGAGAAAUUUAUAAAAA